GACGAACGCUGGCGGCGUGCUUAACACAUGCAAGUCGAACGGAAAGGCCCUGCUUUUGUGGGGUGCUCGAGUGGCGAACGGGUGAGUAACACGUGAGUAACCUGCCCUUGACUUUGGGAUAACUUCAGGAAACUGGGGCUAAUACCGGAUAGGAGCUCCUGCUGCAUGGUGGGGGUUGGAAAGUUUCGGCGGUUGGGGAUGGACUCGCGGCUUAUCAGCUUGUUGGUGGGGUAGUGGCUUACCAAGGCUUUGACGGGUAGCCGGCCUGAGAGGGUGACCGGCCACAGAGGGACAGAGAUAGGGCCCAGACUGAUACGGGAGGCAGCAGUGGAGAAUAUUGCACAAUGGGCGGAGGCCUGAUGCAGCAACGCCGCGUGGGGGAUGACGGCCGUCGGGUUGGAAACCGCUUUCGCCUGUGACGAAGCGUGAGUGACGGUAAUGGAUAAAGAAGCACCGGCUAACUACGUG
rnacentral:rRNA from 1 species